GUGUUCACUUCAGCAACAGCACAUAUACUAAAAUUGGAACGAUACAAAGAUUAGCAUGGCCCCUGUGAAAGGAUCACAUGCAAAUUUGUGAAGUGUUCCAUAGGAGG